CGAUAAUAUUUUAGUAGUGGUGUAAUCUUGCGUAAGAUAAUAAUCAGUCUACAUUCUAUAAAUAAAUAAAAUCAUUGUUGUGAAAAAAAAACAUUACAAUACGAGUAGUAUGUUGUGAGUGGAUUCGAUCGAUAAAUUUUAUUAUUUGUUUUUGAAGCUGUAGAUACUGGCACAGUUAUGUUUCUGAUGAUAUUUUUGGUAGCAGCGGGUCUCGCUGCUGCACUCUGCCUCUUUGCAAGAAAACGUUGGCACUACUGGAAGGAUUUAAACGUAGAACAGGCUGAUAUCAAAGAUAUAUUUAAAAA
rnacentral:lncRNA from 1 species